AAUAUAUAGGGGAUAUAUAAUAGUGUUUAUUCACUCCAGAGGCAGGUAUAUUCUUCUCAACUCACAUUUCUAGGGUUCAUCUGGUCAUCAAAGGUCUAAAUCUGUAUACCAUCAAUUGUGAUUCUGAAAUUGCGUGUGCGUAGACGUUUCAUCAGUAAUCUACAAGUCGAUGGUGUCUGUUCAUGUCGGUCUCUAUUCUUAACCUCGGAACCAUUAACCUCGGAACCGUUACAAAUCGAAUUGAUUGAACAUCAUUAAUGAAAGCUUAAUUCUUCAUGCCCACUACAACCACUUUGUUGCAUUCAGUGAUUCUUAUCCUUCAUCAAAGAGGUGAUUCUCAGAUUCUCACUUAUAAAAAGGCUGGGCAUUGUUCUUCCACGGUGGGGUUGCGGUUGCUCAGAUUCUGCGAACUAAGGUUGUUCCGCUCUUCGAACACAUGAUCAAUAGUUUUUUUAAACAGAUCCCGGCUUAAAAUCUACAAAUUUGUGUUUUUUUAGUUUUAAUACUUUCAGUUCAGUUUGUUGAAUAGGUUUUUCGGGCUAAGCUCACUAGAUCUUUUGUUGCAGUUGAUGAAUUAGAUUCCAACAAUCAAAGCAUUGUAUCAAACUGAUCCUGAAACAGAAGCUAUUAGACAUAGUAGAAAGCAAGAUCUGAUGGUUCGACAGGGCAUUAUAUUUCUUAUAACCUUCACCUAUGUCAGUUUUAAUUUUUCCAAUUGGGAAAAUUGAAUUUUUGGAAUGUUUGGCUCAUCGUGAACCAACCUAAUUACCAGGGAAACCAUGACAAUCAUCAUAGUCCAGAACAAGAGAGAACACCAGAAGAUGCUAAAAGGGAAACUUAUAAACAUUAACAAAUGAUUCUUAGUCAAAUGUUGUCUUCCCAAGCCCGAGAAAGAUGUAAGACCCAUCUCAAAUGCUUUGGAGUUCAUCUACUUUUUCUUCUUUUGUUUUUUUAUUUAUUUGAAUUGUAGCUUAAUCCAUGGUAUAUUUUUAACUUUUGCAUUGAGAUUUUGUAAAUUGAGGGUUGAGGGACGUGGCAACAAAUCUGCUGCUGUGAACUAAUCGAGGGACGUGGCAAAUCAGUAGUUUGUGAGGCAGUAAUCAGAGGAGAGAUCAUGAACAAGGUGUUGAAAACGAGUGCUGCUGCUUUUGUGGAACUCAAAAUGCUCAAGAACCUCACGGGCUCUCUGUUGUUGCAGGCUCUCUAGUGAU